AUGUGGAAACCAGUUCUGAAGGUAUUAGAAAAUUUACACAAUGAUGCCGAUAAUGUUGCCCAAAGAACCACAGCUACUGGGUUGAUAAAGCAAAUGGAGUCCUUUGAAUUUGUUCUCAUAUUGCAUCUUAUGAUUAGAUUAUUGGGCAAGACUAACAAUCUGUCACAAUGCUUGCAAUUGAAAAAUCAGAAUAUUGUACGUGCUGUGGGGUUGAUUAAAACUACAUUGGAGGAUAUUCAAGAGAUAAGGCUGAAUGGUUGGGAUGAGCUCUUUAAAGAGGUAACAGACUUUUGUGUCAAAUACAACAUUGUAGUGCCCAAUAUGGAAGAUACAAGAACUGCUAAUGGGCGUUCAAGGACUUGGGGUGGGCAAUUGUUAAAUAACCGCUUUGCUGAAAGGUCUACUCAAUUGUUGAGAUGCAUUGCUUGUCUUGAUCCCAAGAAUUCAUUUGCCAAUUAUAAUGAAGACAAGCUAGUAGAUCUUGCUAAUAUGUAUGCAGCUGACUUCUCUACAUAUGAAGUUACUUUUGUCCUUAGAAACCAAUUAGACUCAUUCAUUCGGGAAGCAAGAACAGAUCCACAUUUGAUGAAUUGCAAUGACCUUGGUCAUCUUGCCAUGAAUAUGGUUUUAGCUGAUAUGCACACAAACUUUCCCUUGGUUUACCGUCUUGUUGAGUUAGCAUUGAUUUUACCUGUUGCAACUGCAACCGUGGAAAGGGCAUUCUCAGCAAUGAGUAUUAUCAAGACUGGAUUGAGGAACAAAAUGGGUGAUGAUUGGAUGAAUCAUAGAAUGGUAUGUUACAUUGAGCGAGAUGUAUUUGUUAGUAUUGAAGAAUCAAAGAUCAUCGAGCGAUUUCAAGGUUAUCGCACACGCAAAGGCAUUUUGCCGCGUCCUAGACGUUUAGCUUCUUCUGCUAUUGAAGAUGUAGUCAUGGGAGGCUCAGAUCAACCAAUCCUUUGA
rnacentral:rRNA from 1 species